rnacentral:rRNA from 1 species
CCCAGACUCCUACGGGAGGCAGCAGUGGGGAAUAUUGCACAAUGGGGGGAACCCUGAUGCAGCGACGCCGCGUGGGUGAAGGAGCACCUCGGUGCGUAAAGCUCUAUCAGCAGGGAAGAAAAAAGACGGUACCUGACUAAGAAGCCCCGGCUAACUACGUGCCAGCAGCCGCGGUAAUACGUAGGGGGCAAGCGUUAUCCGGAUUUACUGGGUGUAAAGGGAGCGUAGACGGCAAUACAAGUCGGAAGUGAAAUACCCGGGCUUAACCUGGGAACUGCUUUGGAAACUGUAUGGCUGGAGUGCUGGAGAGGUAAGCGGAAUUCCUAGUGUAGCGGUGAAAUGCGUAGAUAUUAGGAGGAACACCAGUGGCGAAGGCGGCGUACUGGACAGUAACUGACGUUGAGGCUCGAAAGCGUGGGGAGCAAACAGGAUUAGAUACCCUGGUAGAC